rnacentral:rRNA from 1 species
ACGUAGGGAGCAAGCGUUGUUCGGAUUUACUGGGCGUAAAGGGCGCGUAGGCGGCGCGGUAAGUCACUUGUGAAAUCUCUGAGCUUAACUCAGAACGGCCAAGUGAUACUGCAGUGCUAGAGUGCAGAAGGGGCAAUCGGAAUUCUUGGUGUAGCGGUGAAAUGCGUAGAUAUCAAGAGGAACACCUGAGGUGAAGACGGGUUGCUGGGCUGACACUGACGCUGAGGCGCGAAAGCUAGGGGAGCAAACGGGAUUAGAUACCCCGGUAGUCCUAGCCCUAAACGAUGAAUACUUGGUGUCUGGAGUUUCAAGACUUCGGGUGCCGUCGCUAACGUUUUAAGUAUUCCGCCUGGGGAGUACGCUCGCAAGAGUG